UACGUAGGUGGCAAGCGUUGUCCGGAUUUACUGGGCGUAAAGGGCGUGCAGGCGGUUUGUUAAGUCUAGGGUGAAAGCUCCCGGCCCAACUGGGAGAGGUCCUUGGAUACUGGCAGACUUGAGGAGAGUAGAGGAGAGUGGAAUUCCCGGUGUAGUGGUGAUAUGCGUAGAUAUCGGGAGGAACACCAGUGGCGAAGGCGGGUCUCUGGGCCGAUACUGACGCUGAGGAGCGAAAGCGUGGGGAGCGAACAGG
rnacentral:rRNA from 1 species